ACUAGUUCACUUUGAAGAUUAGUUCAUUUUGAACUAAUCAUUCAUGAACUACCCAUCACUACCAACCAUGAGGAAGAGCAAUAGUAAUCUUUUCUGAGCGCGAAGUGAGCUCUCAGUGCUGCUUCAUUGUAGCUGCUGUUUGCUUUUGAUGACCGUUCCUUUUCUUCUAUCAUGGGAGAAAUGGAGGAAGAGAUUACAAGCUGAGUGGU